GCAGUCGUGGCCGAGUGGUUAAGGCGAUGGAAUAGAAAUCCAUUGGGGUGUCCCCGCACAGGUUUCAAAUCCUGUCGACUGCG